UAAGGAAUAUUGGUCAAUGGGCGCAAGCCUGAACCAGCCACGCCGCGUGAAGGAUGACGGCCCUAUGGGUUGUAAACUUCUUUUCUUACGGGGAUAAAUCUCAUUACGUGUAAUGAGUUGAAGGUACCGUAGGAAUAAGCAUCGGCUAACUCCGUGCCAGCAGCCGCGGUAAUACGGAGGAUGCAAGCGUUAUCCGGAUUCAUUGGGUUUAAAGGGUGCGUAGGCGGGAUGGUAAGUCAGGGGUGAAAGCCAACAGCUCAACUGUUGAAUUGCCUUUGAUACUGCUAUUCUUGAGUAUGUUUGAAGUGGGCGGAAUGUUACAUGUAGACGGUGAAAUGCGUAGAGAUGUCACAGAACACCGAUUGCGAAGGCAGCUCACGUAAGCCAUUACUGACGCUGAGG
rnacentral:rRNA from 1 species